rnacentral:rRNA from 1 species
UAGGGAAUCUUCGGCAAUGGACGAAAGUCUGACCGAGCAACGCCGCGUGAGUGAAGAAGGUUUUCGGAUCGUAAAACUCUGUUGUUAGAGAAGAACAAGGACGUUAGUAACUGAACGUCCCCUGACGGUAUCUAACCAGAAAGCCACGGCUAACUACGUGCCAGCAGCCGCGGUAAUACGUAGGUGGCAAGCGUUGUCCGGAUUUAUUGGGCGUAAAGCGAGCGCAGGCGGUUUCUUAAGUCUGAUGUGAAAGCCCCCGGCUCAACCGGGGAGGGUCAUUGGAAACUGGGAGACUUGAGGGCAGAAGAGGGGAGUGGAAUUCCAUGGGUAGCGGUGAAAUGCGUAGAUAUAUGGAGGAACACCAGUGGCGAAGGCGGCUCUCUGGUCUGUAACUGACGCUGAGGCUCGAAAGCGUGGGGAGCAAACAGG